CCUACGGGAGGCAGCAGUAGGGAAUCUUCCGCANUGGACGAAAGUCUGACGGAGCAACGCCGCGUGAGCGAUGAAGGCCUUCGGGUCGUAAAGCUCUGUUGUCAGGGAAGAACAAGUACUGGAGUAACUGCCGGUACCUUGACGGUACCUGACCAGAAAGCCACGGCUAACUACGUGCCAGCAGCCGCGGUAAUACGUAGGUGGCAAGCGUUGUCCGGAAUUAUUGGGCGUAAAGCGCGCGCAGGCGGUUCCUUAAGUCUGAUGUGAAAGCCCCCGGCUCAACCGGGGAGGGUCAUUGGAAACUGGGGAACUUGAGUGCAGAAGAGGAGAGCGGAAUUCCACGUGUAGCGGUGAAAUGCGUAGAGAUGUGGAGGAACACCAGUGGCGAAGGCGGCUCUCUGGUCUGUAACUGACGCUGAGGCGCGAAAGCGUGGGGAGCGAACAGGAUUANAUACCCUGGUAGUCCACGCCGUAAACGAUGAGUGCUAAGUGUUAGAGGGUUUCCGCCCUUUAGUGCUGCAGCAAACGCAUUAAGCACUCCGCCUGGGGGAGUACGGCCGCAAGGCUGAAACUCAAAUGAAUUGACGGGG
rnacentral:rRNA from 1 species